CCCAGACUCCUACGGGAGGCAGCAGUGGGGAAUAUUGCACAAUGGGGGAAACCCUGAUGCAGCGACGCCGCGUGAGUGAAGAAGUAUUUCGGUAUGUAAAGCUCUAUCAGCAGGGAAGAAAAUGACGGUACCUGACUAAGAAGCCCCGGCUAACUACGUGCCAGCAGCCGCGGUAAUACGUAGGGGGCAAGCGUUAUCCGGAUUUACUGGGUGUAAAGGGAGCGUAGACGGUGAUGCAAGUCAGAAGUGAAAGCCCGGGGCUCAACUCCGGGACUGCUUUUGAAACUGUGUAACUGGAGUGCAGGAGAGGUGAGCGGAAUUCCUGGUGUAGCGGUGAAAUGCGUAGAUAUCAGGAGGAACACCAGUGGCGAAGGCGGCUUACUGGACUGUAACUGACGUUGAGGCUCGAAAGCGUGGGGAGCAAACAGGAUUAGAUACCCUGGUACGC
rnacentral:rRNA from 1 species